GUGAACGCCCGCAAGGGCUUAUAACUUUCCAAACCUCUGUGAACCGUGCCCUUCGGGGCUUUUUACAAACAUGGUGUAAUGAACGUUAUUACUUUAACAAAACA
rnacentral:misc_RNA from 1 species